rnacentral:lncRNA from 1 species
AUUUUAUAAAACAUUGCAAGAGAUGUUGAAAGCGUGUGAGUGGAUAAGAAGAGGUGGUUGCUCACUUAAAUUCAAAUCAAAUUUGAAUUCAAGUGUCAACCAAUCUUAUCCUCAUCCAUUUGUGCGAGAAAGAAGAGAUGGCGUGGCCUUUUUUUUGUGCAUGGAGACUUUCACAAGAAACCAUUUCUCGUGUGGAAUAUGGGGCGCACAAAAGAGGAUAAGCUGGCGCAUGGUUAUUUGG